GUCAGUCUUUGUCCAGGGGGCCGCCUUCGCCACCGGUAUUCCUCCAGAUCUCUACGCAUUUCACCGCUACACCUGGAAUUCUACCCCCCUCUACAAGACUCUAGCCUGCCAGUUUCGAAUGCAGUUCCCAGGUUGAGCCCGGGGAUUUCACAUCCGACUUGACAGACCGCCUGCGUGCGCUUUACGCCCAGUAAUUCCGAUUAACGCUUGCACCCUCCGUAUUACCGCGGCUGCUGGCACGGAGUUAGCCGGUGCUUCUUCUGCGGGUAACGUCAAUUGCUGAGGUUAUUAACCUCAACACCUUCCUCCCCGCUGAAAGUACUUUACAACCCGAAGGCCUUCUUCAUACACGCGGCAUGGCUGCAUCAGGCUUGCGCCCAUUGUGCAAUAUUCCCCACUGCUGCCUCCCGUAGGAGUCUGGACCGUGUCUCAGUUCCAGUGUGGCUGGUCAUCCUCUCAGAUCAGCUAGGGAUCGUCGCCUAGGUGAGCCGUUACCCCACCUACUAGCUAAUCCCAUCUGGGCACAUCUGAUGGCAAGAGGCCCGAAGGUCCCCCUCUUUGGUCUUGCGACGUUAUGCGGUAUUAGCUACCGUUUCCAGUAGUUAUCCCCCUCCAUCAGGCAGUUUCCCAGACAUUACUCACCCGUCCGCCGCUCGCCGGCAAAG
rnacentral:rRNA from 1 species